CCUGGCUCAGAACGAACGCUGGCGGCGCGUUUUAAGCAUGCAAGUCGAACGGGAACCUGAGUGCUUGCACUUGGGGGAGAGUGGCGAACGGGUGAGUAACACGUAGGUGAUCUAUCUUAAGAUUGGGGAUAGCCCAUGGAAACAUGGGGUAAUACCGGAUGAGCCCUGCUAUCGUAAGAGGUGGCAGGGGAAAGGCCCUUAGGGGUUGUCUUAAGCUGAGCCUGCGGCUCAUUAGUUAGUUGGUGGGGUAACGGCCUACCAAGGCGACGAUGAGUAGCCGGCCUGAGAGGGUGACCGGCCACACUGGGACUGAGACACGGCCCAGACUUCUACGGAAGGCAGCAGCUAAGAAUCUUCCGCAAUGGGCGAAAGCCUGACGGAGCGACGCCGCGUGAACGAAGAAGGCCGGAAGGUUGUAAAGUUCUUUUCUCGGGGGAGAAUAACCUUAGGAGGGAAUGCCUGAGGGAUGACAUGAACCGAGGAAUAAGCUACGGCUAAUUACGUGCCAGCAGCCGCGGUAACACGUAAGUGGCAAGCGUUGUUCGGAAUUAUUGGGCGUAAAGGGCGCGUAGGCGGCCAUGCAAGCCUGGUGUGAAAUCUCCCAGCUCAACUGGGAAUGCGCGCUGGGAACUGUGUGGCUAGAGUUUAGGAGGGGGAGCUGGAAUUCCUGGUGUAGGGGUGAAAUCUGUAGAUAUCAGGAAGAACACCGGUGGCGAAGGCGAGCUCCUGGCCAUAGACUGACGCUGAGGCGCGAAAGCGUGGGGAGCGAACAGGAUUAGAUACCUUGGUAGUCCACGCUGUAAACGAUGUGCACUAGGUGUAGGUUGGUAUGACAAUCUGUGCCGGAGCGAACGCGUUAAGUGCACCGCCUGGGGAGUAUGCUCGCAAGGGUGAAACUCAAAGGAAUUGACGGGGGCCCGCACAAGCGGUGGAGCAUGUGGUUUAAUUCGAUGAUACGCGAGAAACCCUACCAGGGCUUGACAUCUACGCCGAGACGGAAGAGAUUUCGUUGCCCCUUUUGGGGGGCGUAGACAGGUGCUGCAUGGCUGUCGUCAGCUCGUGCUGUGAAGUGUUGGGUUAAGUCCCGCAACGAGCGCAACCCCUGCUGUCUGUUGCCAGCAAGUAAUGUUGGGGACUCAGGCGGUACUGCCGGUGACAAACCGGAGGAAGGUGGGGACGACGUCAAGUCAUCAUGGCCCUUAUGUCCUGGGCUACACACGUGCUACAAUGGUCGGUACAGAGUGAUGCAAGACCGCGAGGUGGAGCAAAUCGCAGAAAGCCGGUCUCAGUACAGAUUGGAGUCUGAAACUCGACUUCAUGAAGGUGGAAUCGCUAGUAAUCGCGCAUCAGCAUGGCGCGGUGAAUACGUUCCCGGGCCUUGUACACACCGCCCGUCACACCACCCGAGUUGGGGGUACCCGAAGUCGCUAGUCUAACCAGCAAUGGGGGACGGUGCCGAAGUAUGCCUGUAAGGGGG
rnacentral:rRNA from 1 species